rnacentral:rRNA from 1 species
UACGGGGGGGGGCAAGCGUUGUUCGGAAUUACUGGGCGUAAAGGGCUCGUAGGCGGCCAACUAAGUCGGAUGUGAAAUCCCCAGGCUUAACCUGGGAACUGCAUCCGAUACUGGAUGGCUUGAAUCCGGGAGAGGGAUGCAGAAUUCCAGGUGUAGCGGUGAAAUGCGCAGAUAUCAGGAGGAACACCGGUGGCGAAGGCGGGUCUCUGGGCCGUAACUGACGCUGGAGGAGCGAAAGCAUGGGGAGCGAACAGG